rnacentral:rRNA from 1 species
AUACAGAGGGUGCGAGCGUUAAUCGGAAUUACUGGGCGUAAAGCGCGCGUAGGCGGCUUGGUCAGUCGGAUGUGAAAGCCCUGGGCUCAACCUGGGAAUUGCAUUCGAUACUGCCAAGCUAGAGUAUGGGAGAGGGAAGUGGAAUUUCCGGUGUAGCGGUGAAAUGCGUAGAUAUCGGAAAGAACACCAGUGGCGAAGGCGACUUCCUGGCCCAAUACUGACGCUGAGGUGCGAAAGCGUGGGGUGCGAACAGGAUUAGAAACCCUAGUAGUCC